UUUGUUAUAUGUUAUUUUUUAAUACACAUUUGUGUUUUAAAUUCGUAGUUUCCACACGCAUAUGUGUUGUAAGAGGCCCAAUUUGCCCGAGCCCGAUACAGAUAUUAAAAACCAAUAAUAAGCAAUCCAAUCCAAUAAUGUCAGUCCAAUUACAAAAGCCUAAUACACUUUUCAAGCCCAAUUACAGUCCCAAAUACAUGGCCCAAAUCACUAAACCCAAUAGCCCAAACCCGAAUUAGCAGCCGAUAGCCCAAAGAAAAAAAUCAGCAUGCAAGGAACCCUAGAGGAUUCUCGCGCCGCAAGCUGCCGCAGCCAAGCCGCUCCUCACGCACGAGCCUCCGUCCAUGCGCCGCGCCGAGCCAAGCCACCGCCAAGGACCACGCUUGCACUGUGCCACGCGAGCCUCCGUACAUGCGUGCCCGUAUACCUGCAACCAGACGCACACAGCAACAAAAGCAACAAAGCAGAGACAGAACGCAAAAAGAAAAAGCAGAAUAGCAGAAAAAUAGGAGAAAAAAUGAUGUAUGUUUUAAUUUUAUUUUCGAUUUGGCUAUAAAGCCAUUUUGGAGAAUCUGUAAAACUCACGCAUAUUAUAUAAAAAAUUGAAAAAAAGAAAUAAAAACGGAGAAGGUAACUCCUUCUUUUCCUUCGAAUUUUUCUUUGUUUUUUUUCUCUGUUCUUCUAUUUUGUUAUGGUAUAUAGAUAUAUAAAUAAAAAAGGGAGAAAGGAGACCCUUACCUUCGCAAGGGUACGUCGUCGGAGCUCCGUUUCCUCCGCCCAAAUCGGAGUUAGACGGAGUUUUGGGGGUUUGGAGGCGGCCAAACAUGAGAGAGCCUAGGGUUUUCCCUUUUAACCUUUGUUUUAAAAUGAAGGGAGGCUACUGUUUUUUAGAUUUUUC
rnacentral:lncRNA from 1 species